rnacentral:rRNA from 1 species
CCUACGGGUGGCUGCAGUGAGGAAUAUUGGUCAAUGGGCGAGAGCCUGAACCAGCCAAGUCGCGUGAAGGAUGACGGCCCUACGGGUUGUAAACUUCUUUUGUCAGGGAGCAAUUGGGUCCACGCGUGGGCUUAGCGAGAGUACCUGAAGAAAAAGCAUCGGCUAACUCCGUGCCAGCAGCCGCGGUAAUACGGGGGAUGCGAGCGUUAUCCGGAUUGAGUGGGUUUAAAGGGUUCGUAGGCGGAAGAUAAAGUCAGCGGUAAAAAUUCGGGGCGAAACCCCGUCGGGCAGUUGAAACUGAUGGUCUUGAGGGGGCGAGAAGGAUGCGGAAUGCGUGGGGUAGCGGUGAAAUGCAGAGAUAUCACGCAGAACUCCGAUUGCGAAGGCAGCAUACCGGCGCCCAACUGACGCUGAAGCACGAAAGCGUGGGUAUCGAACAGGAUUAGAUACCCUGGUAGUC